rnacentral:rRNA from 1 species
GACGAACGCUGGCGGCGUGCUUAACACAUGCAAGUCGAGCGGUAAGGCCCCUUCGGGGGUACACGAGCGGCGAACGGGUGAGUAACACGUGAGCAAUCUGCCCUUCACACGGGGAUAACUCCGGGAAACCGAAGCUAAUACCCGAUACGACCACCUCAGGCAUCUGAUGGUGGUGGAAAGUUCCGGCGGUGAAGGAUGAGCUCGCGGCCUAUCAGCUUGUUGGUGGGGUAACGGCCCACCAAGGCAACGACGGGUAGCCGGCCUGAGAGGGUGACCGGCCACACUGGGACUGAGACACGGCCCAGACUCCUACGGGAGGCAGCAGUGGGGAAUAUUGGACAAUGGGCGAAAGCCUGAUCCAGCAACGCCGCGUGAGGGAUGACGGCCUUCGGGUUGUAAACCUCUUUCAGCUCCGACGAAGCCGUGAGGUGACGGUAGGGGCAGAAGAAGCACCGGCCAACUACGUGCCAGCCGCCGCGGUAAGAC